UCCUCAGUAGCUUAGUGGUAGAGCGUUUGGUUAAUGCCCCAAAGGGCAAUGUUAAAUAAUCAAGAGACUAGGGUUCGAAUCCCCAGUGAGGUU